rnacentral:rRNA from 1 species
CAGCCGCCGCGGGAAUACAGAGGGUGCAAGCGUUAAUCGGAAUUACUGGGCGUAAAGCGCGCGUAGGUGGUUUGUUAAGUUGGAUGUGAAAUACCCGGGCUCAACCUGGGAACUGCAUCCAAAACUGGCAAGCUAGAGUAUGGUAGAGGGUGGUGGAAUUUCCUGUGUAGCGGUGAAAUGCGUAGAUAUAGGAAGGAACACCAGUGGCGAAGGCGACCACCUGGACUGAUACUGACACUGAGGUGCGAAAGCGUGGGGAGCAAACAGGAUUAGAUACCCCUGUAGUCCCUGUCUCUUAUAC